rnacentral:rRNA from 1 species
AGGAUCAUUAUUGUACCAAAAUGUGAUGGGCGCGCUUGGGCUGUCGCUGACUCAAAAGAUCGUGCACGCCCAGGUGACAACCCUCGCAUUAACAAUCCAUCUCACCCUCUGUGCAUCACCGCGUGGGUUCCCUUCUCGGAGGGGGCUCGCGUUUUCACACACAAACCCCCUUUUAAAAAGUGUAGAAUGACCUCAUGUAUGCGUUAACCCGCAAUCAAUACAACUUUCAACAACGGAUCUCUUGGCUCUCGCAUCGAUGAAGAACGCAGCGAAAUGCGAUACGUAAUGUGAAUUGCAGAAUUCAGUGAAUCAUCGAAUCUUUGAACGCACCUUGCGCCCCUUGGUAUUCCGAGGGGCACACCCGUUUGAGUGUCGUGAAAGCCUCAACCUCCUUGGUUUCUUCUGGAGACCAAAGCAGGCUUGGACUUUGGAGGCCUUUGCUGGCACCUCUCUUUUUGAAGGCCAGCUCCUCUUAAACAAAUUAGCAGGGUCCUCUUUGCUGAUCCUCGACGUGUGAUAAGAUGUUUCCAUGUCUUGGUUUCUGGCUCUGUCACUUUUUGGGACCUGCUUCUAACCGUCUGGACCUUGCGUCGAGAGACAACGUUCGAGCAUGCGUGCCUCCCUUCCCGGGAAGCUCCCUCGACCCCACGACCCCUUGACCUCAAAUUGGGUGAGACUACCCGCUGAACUUAAGCAUAUCAAUAAGCGGAGGAAAAGAAACUAACAAGGAUUCCCCUAGUAACUGCGAGUGAAGCGGGAAAAGCUCAAAUUUAAAAUCUGGUGGCCUUUGUCCAUCCGAGUUGUAAUUUAGAGAAGCGUCUUCCGCGCUGGACCGUGCACAAGUCUCCUGGAAUGGAGCGUCAUAGAGGGUGAGAAUCCCGUCUUUGGCACGGAUGUUGGUGCUUCUGUGAUGCGCUCUCGAAGAGUCGAGUUGUUUGGGAAUGCAGCUCAAAAUGGGUGGUGAACUCCAUCUAAAGCUAAAUAUUGGCGAGAGACCGAUAGCGAACAAGUACCGUGAGGGAAAGAUGAAAAGCACUUUGGAAAGAGAGUGAAACAGUACGUGAAAUUGUUGAAAGGGAAACGCUUGAAGUCAGUCGCGUUGACCAAGACUCAGCCUUGCCUUGGCUUGGUGUACUUCUUGGCUCGACGGGCCAGCAUCAAUUUUGUCUCUCGGAUAAUGGCAGGGGAAAGGUGGCACCUUUACGGGUGUGUUAUAGUCUCUUGUCGCAUGCGAGGGGUGGGAUUGAGGAACUCAGCACGCACCUCGGUGUCGGGGCUUUAGCCCACGUAACGUG